GCAAUAGCUCACUGGUAGAGCACAUGCUUAGCAUGCAUGAGGUCCUGGGUUCAAUCCCCAGUAUCUGCA
rnacentral:tRNA from 1 species